GGCGUACUUAACACAUGCAAGUCGAACGAGGAGCUUCGGUGUAGCAAUACAUCGGAGCUUCUAGUGGCGAACGGGUGAGUAACACGUGGGGAACCUGUCCUCCAGUCGGGGAUACCCGCUCGAAAGGGCGGCUAAUACCGGAUGCGUUCUCGAGGUCGCAAGAUCUUGAGAGGAAAGGCGGCGAAAGCUGUCGCUGGUGGAGGGCCUCGCGGCCUAUCAGCUAGUUGGUGAGGUAACGGCUCACCAAGGCUAUGACGGGUAGCUGGUCUGAGAGGACGGCCAGCCACACGGGGACUGAGACACGGCCCCGACUCCUACGGGAGGCAGCAGUGGGGAAUUUUCCGCAAUGGGCGAAAGCCUGACGGAGUGACGCCGCGUGGGGGACGAAGGCCUUCGGGUCGUAAACCCCUGUCAGAGGGAAAGAAGGGUCGCCGGGUUAAUACCCCGGUGAUCUGACGGUACCUUCGGAGGAAGCCCCGGCCAACUC
rnacentral:rRNA from 1 species